UACGAAGGGGGCUAGCGUUGCUCGGAAUCACUGGGCGUAAAGCGCACGUAGGCGGCUUUUUAAGUCAGGGGUGAAAUCCUGGAGCUCAACUCCAGAACUGCCUUUGAUACUGGGAAGCUCGAGUCCGGGAGAGGUGAGUGGAACUCCGAGUGUAGAGGUGAAAUUCGUAGAUAUUCGGAAGAACACCAGUGGCGAAGGCGGCUCACUGGCCCGGUACUGACGCUGAGGAGCGAAAGCGUGGGGAGCGAACAGG
rnacentral:rRNA from 1 species